rnacentral:rRNA from 1 species
UCCUACGGGGGGCAGCAGUGGGGAAUAUUGCACAAUGGGGGAAACCCUGAUGCAGCGACGCCGCGUGAGCGAAGAAGUAUUUCGGUAUGUAAAGCUCUAUCAGCAGGGAAGAAAAAUGACGGUACCUGAGUAAGAAGCACCGGCUAAAUACGUGCCAGCAGCCGCGGUAAUACGUAUGGUGCAAGCGUUAUCCGGAUUUACUGGGUGUAAAGGGAGCGCAGGCGGUGCGGCAAGUCUGAUGUGAAAGCCCGGGGCUCAACCCCGGGCCUGCAUGGGAA